UUCCGAAAGGAUUAAUAGAGAAACCGGUGUGAAUCCGGUACGAUUCCGUCACUGUAUCAGGGAGUUUUCAGACAUAUGCCACUGGAUAGAGAAAAUCUGGGAAGGCGUCUGAAGAUGUUGAACUUAAGUCAGGAGAACUGCUUGUAUUGAU
rnacentral:ncRNA from 1 species